CUCCCCCGCCGCCACACCACGGCCCCACCGCCCCUCCGUGGGCGGCUCCGGGUUCGUCGUUUUGCUCUGCGGCCGUUAGGCCAAGGGCAGUGGGCCACUCGCCAUGGACGGCCCUCCUGUCAGUCUGGGGACGGAGAGACGAGUCCGAACUGUGCGUCGGCAUUGCCCCGAGAAGCCGCAGAAGUGCCAUGAAGGUUUAACCCAGAAGAAUUUAGCUAAAAAGUUUGACUUCCCCAUACCUUUGAGUGAAACUUCCAAAAUAAUGAAGAAGAACAAAAAGGUUUUAGUAUGGAAUGGAGUGUACAAAGUCAUUUCAAAAAUGCUUAAAGAAAAUGAGAAAUACAGACUUAGGCUGAAAUGCCAACAGUUGUCUAGUAAAAAUUCAAAAGAUACAAAAUGAAUCUUCUUGUCAUCUUCUGGUUUAACCUAUUUCUGGAUCUGUUACCAAAGAAGAUUAUGAAGAGAUGGAAUUUUAACUUGUCAUAAUUAUAUGAGAUCAGUCCUUCGCCAUGGUGGGAUGGCUCUCCUAGCCUCCCCUGACACUCUCUCAGUUUUCCCUCACAGGCAUUUCUUCAGUAAGUAUUUGAACAUCUAAUUUCAUCUUGGUUUCUGUUUUUGAGAAGUGGUGAUGUCAGGAGUGGUCUGAUAAAGUAGGCAGUGAGAUGGGGCACUGGGAUGGUGUACUUACCAUCAAGAUGGCAACACUCCUUGAAUGGUGUGUGCAAUAUGGAGAGUCUCUGGCACAUGGCGAUGGUCCUGUUCUUAAAGAUUUCACCUGAGGUCUCUUCGAAAAACUUCACAGUGAAGUAAAUGUCUUGGCAGGUGUGUUGAUCCAAACGUUUGAAAGAUACAGGGCGAGUAAUGCUUCAAAUAUAGCUCAGUUGUCUGGUUACUGCUAUGCUGUGUUAACACCCUACAGACAGGAUCGUAAGAAACUCUAUGUCCAUUAACAAACAGUUAAAGAAUAAAUGUAAGGACCAGUGCAUCUCUCUGGUAGUUUAUUGAAAAGUCUUUGUCUGUUGCAGUGGAAGAGCAAACUUUGUUAAGUGGCAAACAGGAUCUUAGAGCUAAAAUUCCAGAGCUCCAUAGAUGAAUAAAUAGUUAAGGCAGGUCUGCUGUGACAAAGUCAGGGCCCAGGUUGGAGAAAUCUGAGGCCCUGAAACAUGUAAUGGCACUAUCCGGAUGAUGUUCCCAGACCUGUGACAAAGUCAAGGCCCAGGUUGGAGAAAUCUGAGGCCCUGGAAUAUAUAAUUGCCCUAUCUAGAUGGGUUUCCCAGAAGGUGUUGGCUCUGCAGAUUCCCUUGAACCCCUGGAGUUUGUAAGGUAGUCUACCCUUUCAUUGCACUUCAAAGUGUUGUAGAAGCCCCUCCUCUUCAAGGCAGUGUGUGUCCUCCUCAGGAGCUGCUCUCACCUCCUCUCCUGGCUACUAGGCCAACUGAAAAAGAGCUAGGCCAGAUAAGGCAGGGAAGAGAUUACAAACAGAAGGAGCUCUAAGAGUUAGUUAGCAUGCAGUGUCAUGAGAAAGGAGCAUACCCCAGGGAUUGGAUUUUGAAGGUGCUGAUCAAAGGGGCUGAAACAUAAGACUAUACUUAAUAAAGAAUUCAUAGACAUGGGGGAACUUUUUUGGGUAAAUGGGGAAAGAUGAAUACUCAGGAUUCUUGGACAUGUUUUGAGUUUACUUGAACUCUGGAGCUCCAAAACAUCUUCAAAGCCACUCCAAAGAGUGGGGGCAUCUCAGGACCAGGAAUCCUGGUUAAAAUCUGAAAAACUACUCAAUGGUUUCCAUAGUCCUCAGGUAUACAGUUGAUAUACCUGGUAGUUGAAGUAAUCUCCAUACCAAAUACUUGUCCUUUGUGGUAAGGGUCUCAUAGUGGGGAACGGCAAGUGGAUAUGUCUGGAACAUCCCCCUUUCCCCAGCCAAGAUAUUAAAUUUGAAAAGCAAGAUUAUAUUCUGUGGGAUGAAGGGAGAGUGGUGGAGAUUAGUGCCACCAUUAAAGAUCUAAAGGAUUCGAGGAUAGUGAUUCCUAUCAUGCCUCUUAAAUUUACCAGUCUUACCCCUGAAGAAACUAGAUGGAUCCUGGAGAAUAAUUGUAAACUACCUCAGACUUAACCAAAUAGUAGCCCAUUUUGCAGCUGCUGUGCUAGAAAAGUAUCUUUGGUGGAGCAGGAACACAAUAUGUAGCUAUUGAUGCAUCAAAUGAAUUUUUUUCCAUCCCAAUCAGAAACGGUCAGAGACAGUUGUAUUCAUGCAAGGCAGACAGUAUUCAUUUAGUUUUGCCUUAGGGCUAUGUUAACUUUCCUGCCUUUCAUUAUAUUAUAAUACAAAGGGAUCCAGACUGUUUGGUCAUCCCACAAAACAUCACAGUGAUUCAUUAACAUUAAUAAUGCUGAUCAGGCAAGUCAAACAAACAGGGCUAGUACUCUGAAAACCUUGACAAUGCACCUGUGCUCCAGAGUGUGUAAAAUAAACUGCAAAGUUUCAAAGACUUUCUUGAAUUUUUAGUGAAGAUUUUAGGAUUCCAAUGAAGAAAACUUCACUGAUGUUUUUAGGGUCCAGUGGUCAGAAAUAUGCCAAGAUAUCCCUAACAAAGGGAAAAAAAAAUUAAAAUGUAUACUGAAUCCUUUGCCACAGAAAUUGAAGCACAUGGGUGGUAGGCUUUGAUUCUAGAGGAAAUAUAUUUUUCACCUAGGAAUGUUGACCUGGUCCAUGUAUUAAGUGACGUAGAAGGGUUGCCAACUUUGAGUAGGACCUCGUGACCCAGUGUGGGAAAGAGCUCUGCAGUAGGUCCAGGCUGUGGUGUAAGCAGUCAUGUUGCUUGGGUCCUAAGCUUUGAAAGACCCUAUGGUGUUAGAGAUACUUUCAGUGGGAAGAGAGGUAGUGUGAAGCUUAUGAAAAGCUUAACACAUGCCAUCAUAGGAAUAUAAACUAUAAUAGAAUUAUAC